UUGAGUUAUCUCACAUUGUUGCCCAGA
rnacentral:piRNA from 1 species